ACGACUCUGAACUGGGAGUACAUCGAUCUAGUACGAGUUCACGGGUGGGAAGUCACGGGUUUGACUGCCGUUCCAGUGCACUUUCACCGGUAGAAGGUUGUAAAAACACGAGUUACAGGCUGCCUGGAACGCAUAGGGUCGUGAGUCGUGGUUUUGAAGUCGUAACUCACGGGUUUAAAAGCCUGCCUGGAACGCAGCAUAAUAUUCUUAAUCUCCCCACAGUAAACGCAUUUUCAAAGUGUCUUUAUUAUUACAGUGCCUUCGUUAUUACUGUAAGUGUAUAUUUAUAGUUAUGUGAUGUAAAUACUUUUAAAUAGCGUCAACUGAUAUAUUAUCUGCAUGGCUAACGUCUAACUUACUGUGGUGCUCUGGUCUAGUCUGCCUCAUUGGUCAUUGAUGGAUAUACGAUUUAUAUUUUUAAAGACGUCAGAAGUAAGAAGUGCAAAUAGGAAGAGAGGAGGGUGGAGAGAGAUCACAGACAGACAGAUAGACAGAAAGAGAGAGAAACGCUUUCAUAAACAGGUGAGAAAUUGUUCUGUCAAUGAAGUCAAAAAUUGUUAUUCUUAUGUAGCUUUAUAGUUACUGGAUUAGCCUUCAGCAAACAUGUUUGCCUAUUUUUGGAUAAGAGAAGUUAAAGUAUCAUUGUCAAAAUUUGUUAUGUUGCAGUUUCAAAAUGACAGUACCAGUGUUGGGUAAGUUACUCAAAAAAGUAAUUAAUUACUAGUUACUAAUUACAUCUUCAAUCAUGUAAUUAAAUUACUUUACAAAUUACUCUCUCCAAAAAGUAUUUAAUUAUUACUAAUUACUUUCUAAAUCCUAUUUAGUACAUGAUACAAGGAUAGGCUUGAAAUGGCUCGAAGAAACAAUAUAUAAAAGUACAUCAAUUAUUCUGGUCCCACUUUAGGGUUCAUUUCUCUCUAUUAAUUAACUAUUAACUACUUUUGCCUCAAUAUACUCCAACUACUGCUUAUUAAUACUAAAGUAGUUGUUUAUUUUAAGUAUUUGUAGAAAUGGGGAGGGUUAAGGAUGUAGAAUAAGGUUUUGCAGAAUCAGGCAUUAAUAUGUGUUAUUUAAGUAGGCCUACUAAAAAACAGUCAACAUCUCAGUAAUAUUAAUGCUAAUAAUCAACCAGUUAAUAGUGAGAAUUGUAAACUAAAACCAUGUUAAAUCCACUAUUUAUUAUAGUAUACAUAAUUGUUCUACAGUCCAUAGACAGUAUUUAGUUACAUCAGAAGUAACUGUAAUUCGAUUACAAGAAAAAUAAGAGUAAUCCCUUUCAUUUCUUUUUCAAGUAAUUAAAUUAGAGUAACAAAUUACUUAGUAACUAGUUACCCCAACACUGGACAAUACAGAGAACACUUAGAUUAAAAAAUAGUUUAUAAAGCUGCCGUAAAUGGAGAAAAAAUAUCAAUAGGGGACCAAGCUUUGAAACCCCUAAAUUUGGGCC